AUGCCCUUCAAGGUCUUGCAAGACUGUCAACUGCAACCAACAAGAACAAUGAGGAUCAUAACUUUCGUAAUCUCGUUCAAUUGUAUGGAUAUCAAAACCAUUAAGAUCAGACUUUUGGGAAGUAAUACUAGACAGGAAAAGUACACUUGCUACAGGCAUAAUUGGCAGGUCACCAGCAGCAAGCCAGCAAGCAAUACUAAUGGAAAUAGUUCUCACAAUUUUUCAAUUGCUAACACAGGAUUGUGA
rnacentral:lncRNA from 1 species